GACGGGGGACGCAAGAGUUAUACGGAAUCACUGGGCGUAAAGCUUCUGUAGGUGGAGAUGCAAGUCACUGGUGCAAAACUCUGGCUCAACCGGGGGAAAGCCAGUGAAACUGCAUGACUAGAGUGUGGGAGAGGUAGAAGGAAUUCCCUGAGUAGCGGUGAAAUGCGUAGAUACAGGGAAGAACACCGGAGGCGAAAGCGUUCUACUGGAACACAACUGACACUGAGACACGAAAGCUAGGGGAGCGAAUGGG
rnacentral:rRNA from 1 species